UACGAUUUUGAUUGUAAAAUAAACGUCGAACCUUUGCAUACGAUUAUUUCGGCUGUGCAAAAUGCUGGCUUCCCUGUUCUUGCGAUGGUCUGCGAUAUGGGCCCAUCCAACCAAAAGCUUUGGAGAGACCUCGGAAUCACUCCAGAACACCCACGGUUCAGCAACCCUAUUGAUCCAGGGGCGAAGGUUUUCGCAUUUGCGGAUGCUCUGUUGAAACUCAUCCGAAAUAAUUUUAUUGAUAGUGGAUUUUUUGGAAAGACCGUAUAAUAACCACGCGCGCAAUAGUUGAUGUUAUGAGGUACACAUCUGUAUCCGACCUAUCUAUAACAUUCAAGUUAACAGAAGAGCACUUAGCUGUAAAAGGGAUAAGCAGACAAAAGGCAAAAUUGGCGACACAGUUGCUUUCUAACACGACUGCAAAAGCCAUGCUGCGCUGCUACGAUCUGGGGUUGGACAUAGAAGAAGCGAUUGAGACAGCUGAACUAAUUUAGUUGGUGAACGAUUGGUACGACGUGCUCAAUUCCUCCAUUAAAACGUCCAAUUAUCCUGGAAAGGAACCAUUUGGACGGAAGAUGCAGCGGAAGCUUGAGAUUUUGGGACGAAUGAAUAAUUUCAUGUCGGAUGUUAUCAUCCCUAGCAAAAAUAGCAUACAAGUUCAAAUGGGUGUUUUGGUAACAAAUAACGCACUGUUACAGUUGUACGAGUAUGUGGUAGUGAAGUACAACUUCAACUACGUUGUCACACGGCGUCUAAAUCAAGAUUUGCUGGAGCACUUCUUCGGAAAUAUACGAAGCAAGGGAGGAUUAAACGACCACCCUACACCGAAGGAGUUUAGGUACAGGCU